GGGUGUGGCCCAGUGGUUGAGUGCUUGCCUAGCAUGCAUGAGAUCCUGGGUUCAUUUCCCAGCAUGCCCA
rnacentral:tRNA from 1 species